GUAAAUGCGCCGCCAUUUUGCCGGCGUGGGAGGGGUGGUAGCGGCGGAGUAUUGCUUGUCGGUCCGGCGUUGAGGUGGUGGGAAGUGGUCGUGCUCUGGUGGUUUUGGCUCUCCCACGUACCUUUCAUGCUUAGAGGUGCGGAGCUGCUAUUAUAAGGGCUGAGGCUUCUAAGAAGUAUGUUCUGAAAGUAUAAGCCAUAUCUGGUAUAAAAGCUGAAGAUGUCCUUGCCCAUGGCAGGGGG